rnacentral:rRNA from 1 species
AGGACGAACGCUGGCGGCGUGCUUAACACAUGCAAGUCGAGCGGAAAGGCCCUUCGGGGUACUCGAGCGGCGAACGGGUGAGUAACACGUGAGCAACCUGCCCUUAGCUUCGGGAUAGCUCCGGGAAACCGGAAUUAAUACCGAAUAUGACUUUGGCUGACAUCAGCAGAAGUGGAAAGUUUUUCGGCUAGGGAUGGACUCGCGGCCUAUCAGCUAGUUGGUGAGGUAACGGCCCACCAAGGCGACGACGGGUAGCCGGCCUGAGAGGGCGACCGGCCACACUGGGACUGAGACACGGCCCAGACUCCUACGGGAGGCAGCAGUGGGGAAUAUUGCGCAAUGGGCGAAAGCCUGACGCAGCGACGCCGCGUGGGGGAUGAAUGCCUUCGGUUGUAAACCCCUUUCAGCAGGGACGAAGCGAAAGUGACGGUACCUGCAGAAGAAGCGCCGGCUAACUACGCGCCAGCAGCCGC